rnacentral:lncRNA from 1 species
UCUACUACUCCUUGCUUGAUUGAACUUAACGUACGUAGAUUUAUAUUGCUAGUAUAUCUGUGUAUCCUCUUUACAUUUUUGUUCUUUUUUUCCUUUUGUCUAUUUUUUUUUCUCUUUUGUUUGGUUAGUUCUGAUUUUUGGGAGCUCCAUUGUGAUUUCUAAGAGGAGAUUUAUCGGAUGUACGUACGUAUGUACUUAUGUUAAUAACGUACUCUUCAAUAGUUUGUAGCAUUUUUCAUAGAUGAAUAAGAGAGCCCGGCCGUCAUUCUUGUUUUGUGUAUAGAAGUGUGUACUAAUCAAUAAUUACAGUUGUUUACCUGCAUAGUUAAACUGCAAACACCUAAAACCUAAUCGAUCCUGUAUAUAUGAUCGGGUUCAAUUUACAGUUCGAUCGCCUACCACUCAUACCCUAGCUGGUACAGCAUUUCUAUAUUUCAUUUCAAUAUACGUGAUAAUAAUAAAUUGGGUCUGGAAAUUCAAAAUUUACUUCCCAACAAUAUCUCCAACUGUAUAUGUAUAUCAAAAACCCUAACACUCUUAGAGUUGAUCAAUGAAAUGGUGGUUGGGUUGUUGAAAUGGGUGGAUAGAGCAGUGAUAUUUCUGUGGAAAUAUCAAUGGAACAUAUAUGAUAGUGGAAUUUGUACAUGGUGGGGAAGGAAUGGGAUGAGAAAAUGAUAAAGUUAGGUGCAGCAUUAGCUAGGGUAACUAGUAAAGGAAUAAUGUGUGGAAGAAAUGGGAUAUGGUGAAUUGCAUAUUAGGAUAGGAUACAUGCGCGCAUGCAUUGCGUUCCAGCUUUGCUUGGUAGUCUUGUUUGUGAUCUUUUUAUGGUGGGUUAAAGGAUUAGAGGGAGAUAGAAAUGGCAUGGCCAGCCAAGCUCAAAUGGGAAUGAUCGACAUGAAAGCACAAGGCAUCCAAAGGAAUGGUACUUAUUCAUGGGGUAUGUGGGGUUUGAUACGCAUAUAUGGUGACAAAACAUAUAAAUUGGAAAGUGAAGUGCACAUGACUCCUACUACUAGUUGCCCCCACGAAACAUACAUAUAGGUGAGCCGUGAGCGAGAGGUCGAUCACGAAUCCAUUAACUUCUUCCUUUGUGUAAAUUCUAGCUUCUCGUGUUUUUUUUACAGUUAGAUCAUCAAUAAGUUGUGAAAACAGUUAUGCAUACAAGUAGAGGAUCCAGGAAAAACUACUUUGGCAUAAUAUUGGUUUCUUUUAGUUGAAUACAAGGAAUUACAUUACGCAUGCAUACAUUUCCACUACAAUGAGUUCCAAAACGAUGACAAUUGAUUGACCGAGAGACUGAGAGAGCCCUCCGAUCCCCCCGCUAAUAUUUAAGAAGGAAUGAUCGGACUCAUCGGAGUGCUAAUUACUUUCCUGAAACUCUGAAAGAGUUCCUCAAAAUGCCAUAGAUUGGCUUAAGCAUCAGGGAGUUGUAGCUAGGAAUAACUACUUGAUAUGUUUAGGGUAAAAUGACCUAUCCCUACUUUCAGCUGGCCAACUUCUAGAAAGAAAUAUAUAGCAGAUGUUUCUUCAACAGACGUAACUAUGUGCUCACAGUUAUGAGAGAGAGAAGGGAUAAUUUGGUGACGACUAGCUAGCUUACAGCAGGCAAUCAAUGAGUGAUGCAUGGUGGUCUGCGUACGUAUGAACAACCGUGAGUGCUUAUGGCACUACAAAGGAAUAAUCCAAAUGGACGAUGUGACAAAUAACAUGUAAUGCGAAAAAACCACAUGCACCGUGUUGGUCACUAGAAUUUGGAACUUUGGAAUAUAACUAUUUGUAUAUAUACUUGCAUAUCAAUUGCAGUAUGAGUUCAAUUUAGUCAUGGUAUGUGGUAUGUCUGAGUUCAAUACGUACGAUCAAACAUUCACAUCAGCAGGUUAAUUAGUGUGAGUUAUUCUGCUUAGGUCUCAUUCUUCAAAACUUGCUCAUCUUGAAACAGUUUAAUCAUUUAGUGUUAACCUUGAAGGCUUGAACUCUCAUUCAGUUGAACCCAAUUUGAGUUGAGGAUUGGUUACUUGUCCUUCCAACUCAAUCUCAGAUCGCCUAACAAACAAUGAAACAAAUCACCUCCUAGGAUCUUAUUAUUUUUACAUUAUCACUUCCUUGCUAUUACGUACAGAAUCCAAAACUCCCAAAUUAUUCCCAAUUAUGUAAAUCACAAGGAAUAUAUGUACGUGUGCCCUGCUUUGCUGAUUAGAUUCGUAUACGUAGUAAAAGCAAAUAAUAUGAAUGGCGUAGUUUCACGAUCAGAAACAUAAAGCUAAAGUUUGUAUAGAUUAAAGCAUUGGAUGCCAUUCAAAGAUCCAACAAUUCAGAACCAUCAUACUAUAAGCUUUAUAUGUCUUUUACCUUUUUCUAUGAAGACAGACACCAAACUACAAUGUUCUCAUGAAUGAAAUUAAGAGACAAGAAUAUAUACAUAGCCACAUGUCAGGCUGAUUAUUAAUGAGAAACCCUAAUGCGCGUGUAGAAAACCCAGAGAAUUUUCCUAUCAUAUGGGAUUCAAGAUUCUUAAGCGCACUUGGUUUAAGUUGUAUCCUGGUUUGACAUAGACCAAACUCUUUAGUCUGUGCUUUACGAUUGAUUUGAAUUGUGAAAGAAAUGGACUUAUAUUGCAUCAAGCAGCGGAAAAAUGAUCGAGCCAGCUUUAGUGCUACCAAUUUCAAAGUUGAUGGGUUCUCAGCAGGGCAAGACCUCACAUUAAAUGAAAGAUACUCCACACAAUUUAAUUUACGAAAACUAGAAAAGAGACAAUUAGUGAUGUUUUGUGGUUGGAACUUGGAAAGUUUGGGCAAAUUCUGCUUAAUUUAAACAGACAAAUUAAGAUUGAAAGCUAUGCAACUUCCAACUCUAAAAAGCUCAGUCACAUUAUUGCAUACACACACACACACUUAUUUAUGGUAGACCGUAUAGAAAACAAUGAUGAAGAUUUUGAUCUCCUAGUGAUUCAUUUUCACAGCCAAGUGCAAACAUAUUUGAUAUAGAAAAUCGUCAGGAACGUCGACAAAGAGCGAUAUCCAACAAGGUAGCGAUGAGUGAUGACCCCAGAGAAAAGAGAGUAUCGAGUAGCAUUAGAGAUUUGGGACUAUAUAUGGAUGUACUAAUAUUGGAGAGAGUAUUAUUUGUCUCGGAAGUUUCUAUUUCAAGACGACAGAAUUUGAUCGGUUGGAAGAGUUAUCUGACCAACGUUUAUGCGAGGGAGUUGAUGAUGGGCAUGGUAAUCAACAUCAGAAAGAGUAAUGGUGCCGGUGAGUGAGUCGACGACGAUGACGCUGCUGAAGAGGGUGAGACCUUGAGAUCGAGUUGUAAUAGUGUUUGCUACCAAGAGUUUCGGACUAAGAUGUGUUGCUCCCUUGCUCACAUGUUUUUGGCAGCAAGGGCAAAGGGAGUUGGCUGAGAGCGAGUCAUUAUGUCUUCUCUGCCGAUAUAACAUGCCUACAGAUUAUUGCUCUUUGCUAGUGUGGAGUGUUCUUAAUUUUCUUUUUGGACAAUAUAUUCCUAUAUAAUAUAAUCUUCAUGACAUCCCUGGUGCCUUAGCUUGUUUAUUUGUGAACUAUGUUCACUUAAUGAUAAGUAGUUUUCCUAAUUUGUGACCAAGUUUCACAAGAAUCUGAAUAAAAAUGAACGUUGCAAGCAUGUUACUAAUCGACUAGACGAGGGAUAUGGAUUUUAGUGGUUCAAAAUUUGGGUAACUUUUCUUUUGCUUCUGGUAAAGGUUUAGAUUUCAUUGAAAUAAAAAGAAUAAAAGAAAAAAAGAAGAGGAAACGGGAACCACAACCUGUAGGGAAUAGUAUACACCUAUACAAUGACCAAAGUCAAUAGCUCAAAGAAAUUCGAAAAACACCAAAUAAGCUUUACCACUCAAAGUUUGGAAAGAACUUGGUCUCAUUAAACCAUAUAAAUUUAGACCUCUGAAAGCUUCAGGUGCAAUUCCCAACUUCACAUACUCAAAAAUAGCAUUUGAAAAUGUGACGCUUUUGGUCGAACAAUAGUGAAUGCUUUUCAACUCCUAGUUCACAGCAAGUAGCUAAUUUCAAUUAAGAAAAGAAACCAAAUACAGCACUUGUCAAUUAUUACAGUGUUGCAUAUGAUUGAGGAAUUCACUAAAAAAGUAUACUAUCAAACAAUGUGGUACAAUGACAUGAUCCGCUAAAUUUGGAACUAGCAAUAUGACAAGUGUUACCGAUAAAGGAGAAUGAAAACUCAAGUCAAAAUUUGCCAAGAAAUGACUGGUUCAUGAGCAUGCAGUGUAAAGUACGAUGCUAAGUUGCUAACCACAGAGCUGCAUAAUGAGAAGAAGGCUAGUUCCACCUUGGAAUCUAACCACUGCGCAUCAACUGGGUUGUAGGUGAUGCGGAUUCUACUAGUAUACUCUCUCUAAUUGGUUUGUAUUUUCUAAUCCCUUGACCCAGAUAAUGCGUCUUCAACGCUCACCAAGGUCCUAACUCUGGAGAAGGGUAUCAAAGUUAAUAUCUUUUAAUCAAGGCACUAUUUGUUCUAACAGAACCCUGAUACUUCACCUAUCUUCUUCUUUGUUUUCUUCGACAUUCAAAGCAAUCUGAACAUGGAGAUCUGAUUUUACUUGUAUAAGAUGCUUGCAGCUUGCUAGGUGGUACUUUCAGGUCUUCAACUAGUAUAUGGCGAAGCUUCUCAUUCUCCUCUGUGAGCUCGUCAAUGAUUUGCUGGUGUUUCAAUACCUGAGACAACAUAAAUUCAAUUAAACAAUUCUAUUACAUUUUCCUAACAGGAGUUGAACAGUUUUAGUAGCUUGAAACAAAAUUGAAGAAAGCAAUUGUUUAGUUGAAUAUUUAGAAAAGAAAAAGGUUGAAUUCUUGAUACAAAGGUGAUGUAUGAGCUACAGAAAAUUGGACUCUACAACACAUGAUAACUUGUUCAAAAACUUGUCAAAUGCUCUAAAAACCACAUUGGAACAACAAUAAAUACUAUAACUAUCUGCUACUAUUACAUUGAAACCACAGAAAAGGGAUCAGAUAUUUGUCAGAAAAAAUGACUUCUUAGCAUAUCUUGAAGGCUGUGAGGAAACUCACAAGUUGGACAUAUCAAAUAGGUAUUUACCAAGCAAUAACAUCACCACCAUAGUUGUCUCUUAGUCUCUUAGAUCCAUCACUUGGGAAAAAUUAAUAAUAUUAUAAAAUAAUUAUAAUAAAAAGGAAUCAAUUGAAACCACAAGUCAAUAUUUACUACCAUUUGAAGGAUUUUAUUCUCCGACCUCAAGCGUCCAGCCUACAAAGGUAAAAUCAAUAAAAAUUAGUACAAAAGUAACAUGAAUGGCAGACACACCCAGGUACCUACUACGCCACUACAGAUUGCAGAGAGAGAAAGUGAAAGAGAGAUCAAACCAAAGGGUCUGCAAUAAAAUCACAAAAAUUUCAGACUUAGAGUUGGAACCUGUACAUACCACGUCACUUAGUUCACUAUCCUCUCCCUUCAAAACUGGACUCUGUAAAAAGCUGCUGAGAACCUUCUCUGUACGACUGCCAAAAGGUGUAUCAACUGGAGAGCUUGUUGAUGUAAAAUUAUCAUAAGUUGAACCUGUACCCUUAUUUCCAUAUCCAGGCAAGCCUUGAGUUGCAUAGUCUGCUGGUUUUGUUGCCAUCUGCAUUAUAUUUCCGACUGGAUUUUGGCUUGAUGAAUCAUUCAUAACGCCAAUGCCGCUUUGCAAUGAACUUGGAAUGGCACCUUGAAGGAUUGGUAAAUUGGGAGAAAUUCCAAAUUUUGUCAUCAUUUUUGCCAUUGUUUGCUGGAGAAUUUAGAGUCAGAAACAUAGUAGUAGGCUCCAACGGGAAUUAACACAUGAAAAAGCAAAGUAAUACUUACCAUAGAAAACAGUUGAAUUUGUUGCAAAAUCCCUGGUUUCAGAGCAAGGCCUGCAUUUGGAAGCAAUAGUAAAUGAAUAUUGUUACAAUGUAGGAACUACAAAGUAAAAUGUAUUAACUUAGUAUACAACGUCAUAAGAUAUGAGUGCAAUUGAUUUGGUGUGAUUUAGAACAAUGUACAAUAACUUGGAAUAAUUGAAAGCUGAAGAAUGAAAUUUGUUUCUUAUUGAGAUCUUAAACUCAACUGCAAACGCUAGUGAGAUUACUAAACACAAACGUUCGUCAGUCUAUGACAUUAGUGAUGUAGUGAUUACUCUUAUUCAAAAAAUUAAGUUAUAUCUACAUAAGCAAUUGAUAGAUGCGACUUAUUGAAUAGAAAGGUAGAUGGUAGGACCAUCAUACAUGUGUUAAACUUUAAUAGUCUGAUGACUCCUCUAUUAAGUUUUUGGAGUCAGUCAUUAUAGUGCUAAAAUACAGUUCAUUCUUUGGUAAUCCAACUUCACUAAAAAUACCAACUUGAAAUUCAAAAUAUUGAGGAAAUAUGAAAGAAUACUGAAAAUACUAUGGAGAUCAAGGAUACAUAAUAACAUAUAGGUAAAGUCUGAAUGUUUUUUUUUUUUAAUCAAAGGGUCAACUCUUUAUUGAAUAUAGAACUAAAUUAUACGUUACAAAUAUCAGCUGCUAUAGCAGAGUGAAUAAAAUUGGUGCAGAACUAAGUCUGAAUGUUUUUGUAACUGCUAGACACCAUACAAUCAAUUUUGCUAAAGCAUUUUACAUCCACGCUAUUCGGUGCUUAUGACCAAGGAGAGCAUCCAGUCCUUUCACACCCAAAACAAGGUAAACAACUUAAUAAAGAAUAAAUGAAUUUCUUCAAUAAGCCACGGAUAUUCAGUGAUAAUUUAGUUUAAAAUUCUUAGGUAUGUUGAUAGUAAUUUACAUUACGCGCAUCAACAUUUCCUCAUGAAAACAAAAAAAACAAAGCAUUUCAAAAUAUUCAACUAUCGUAUUACUAUGUAUGAAUCAAAUGGUUUGGAUAACAGAAGCAAAUAAGAAAUAUGUAAAUGAAAUAAUGUCAAUAUAGGAAAGAGAAUAUAUUAUAAUACUGAUUCUCCUAGAAGCAGAUAAGAUGACAUACCAACUCCAAAGCCAUGUCCAAAACCAACGCCACAACCAAUGCCGGCUUCAAUGUUCUUUGCUCCAACCUUCCUUAACUGGACAAUGAGAAAGCAGAAUAAGACAUUUGGGAAUCCUUCAACACUUGUAUAAUGAUUUUCUCUUCCUAUCUCAUAUCAAGACACAGAAUACUCCCGAGAAUCCAAGACUGAAAAGGAAAAAGUUAUUCGACUUACGGCGUCAGUUACAUGUCUGCUAACUCCCGAAAAAGCAUCAGUGGCACCUCUUGUGGCACCCAUGACUUGAUUUACCACUGGUACUGCACCUGGUAUAUAGCCAAAGUAAUGUGUGAGUUAACUAAUAUCUACUAGUCCGCUACAACCAUAGAAGAAAUCUCUUGUCAAUGAUAUCUUUACUUGAGGACACUUGUGACUUAAUUUUAUAGAUUAAUGAUAAUAUAUAUAUAUAUAUAUAUAUAUAGAAUUAUCUUUUUACUCCUGCUAUUCUCUGCGCUUGUAAUUUCGUGAAAGAAGGAUUGGAAAAGAUUUCUAUCUGAAGGUUUUGGCUGACAGAAAAUACACAUACAUAAAAUAUAAAAUUUGAAAAGACUAUUAGAUCAAUGGACUAAAUGAGCAAGGAUAAUAAAAGGCUCUAUAAACAAUAGAAAACUCAGAUUUACGAUCAUAAGUGACAAAGACCAAAUGUACUUUAAGUACUAAAAAUAAUGAGGAAAGGGAUAUGCAUACUUGAAUUUUUGGAUUAUUGAGAUGCCAAAAGGACAAAUACAUUUUCAGUGUACAUAGUAUAUUCCCUGCGUUGCUACAACUCUUUAAGUCUUUAACUUAUAGGUCAAUUAGAGCACGCAUAGGUACAGUGAUGCCCAUCAAGCCUAUAAUAUAAAUACCGAAUUCUAUGUGCUAAACGUGUCUUGUUUUAUAGAACUAAGCACAAAUGGACAUGAAAACAUUCAUUUUUUAAGCACAUGUUAAUGCUGAUUUCUUUCAUUUCUCCCUUCCUCUAAGUUGUUUUCCUCGACUCAAAGGUUAGCAAUGCAGCUUUCCCUUUUCAUUCAUACUUAGACAGGAGUUAAUAUCUUGGAUCAUGCAUGCUAACAAAGUAACAAUGUGGCUAUGUCAGGUGAAUGAUCCUACAUUAGUAGCUUUGGUGACUUGUGGAUAACCUACCAAAUAACCACUAAAACACAUGUGGAAUAUAUUGGUCUUGGAACUCAAAUCCAUUGCCUAUCAGAUAGUGUAAAACUAAGAACUCUCUACCUUCAAAACAACAAUUUAAACUGCUCUGAUGACUACAAAUUGAAUUGAUUUCCAUGUAUGACUACACAACACCAAUUCAAUGUUUCAGAAUAUGAGAUCUCAGAAAUGAGCAAGAGUGGUAAACUAUAGUUCUUGGAAAUAUAAAGGACACCAGGUCCACCAAUAUCGUUGUAUCAACAAAUCCUUCAUUAUCUAAAACGAUAUAAGCACAAGAGACUCAAAUCAGAACAUAGCUUCAAACUGCACACACCCCACGAUCACAUAUUGACUAGAACCACAAUGCGCAAACCUCAAAACAACCAAAUUCUCUACAUCAAAACCAACGCACACUGCAGCUACACUAGCAAAUAACCAAAUGCAAUAUCUAUAAACAAUCAACCAAUCUUCCUUCAUUCACUAAAGGUCUAAAGCCAACAUGAAACAGCUUAAUCACAUUUCCCUACACUAACUCAGCAACCAAAAACACGACCGAAAUUUGAAAACCAAACAAACAAACAGUCCAUUAGAACCUUGUGAGUGAUGGGUUUCACCAUUUUUGGGCUUGAAGAGCCUCCCAAAGUCCAUCUUCAAUAUUUUAAAACUCACAGAGAACAAAGCUACACAACACUGAGAGAGAUAGCAAGGACUAAAAGAAAAGGGUGAGUACCUAAAUUAAUGGGGCGGCCAACGCCGAUACCAACACCACAGCCUAUGCCAAACCCAGUAAAUACUUGACCCACUUUCAAAGUAAACGGAUUCCCUAUUCGAAUCGGCUUCUUCUCAUUGGCCACCACCACCACCUUACUGCUUCCCUCCAUAUUCCCCAAAAAAGCUUCUCUCUUUUCAAAAACCCAAGUCUCUCUCUUUCUUUAGUCUUUCACAAAGCUAAAGCUUCAACCUUUUCUUUCUUUCCUCUUCAAAUUUCCCACCUUUGCCCUCUCUGUGAAGCCUGAACUGUAAGUCUGAUACAAUUUUAGGCAGGAGGCAAACUGAACAGAGUUUCUACUCCUCUGCUUACAAAACCAUUAUAGUAAUCUUAGGCUUCAAGUGAUGAACCAAUAUAAACAUGACACAGCAACAAUGAGGAGGUCAAUUACCAGAUUACCUUCAUACCUAAGAAGUAAGGUACUAACCAAGUGUCAAAGAAAGAGGUUAGCUGGAGUUGUUUGGGCCUAUUGGGCAGGUUAAUUUUUGACGCGGCCCGGCCCAUUGUUUGGGUUCUGACACUGAUAACCCGCCUUAUACUGAUUCUUUGCUUCUGCUAGUGCUAGAUUUUGGGGCACGGUUUCUGGGUGAGCUUCUUCAUCUUUGUUUUGUUUCCUUGUUUUUCGUUUCUCUGUUUUCAUUUUGCUGCAUUUUUAGUAUGUGGGUUUUGUGAGUUUGGGGGCUUUUUGCGUGAACGUUUAGAGAGUUUUUGGUGUGGGAAUGUAGGUUUUGAAAGGUGUGAUCUUGAUGGGUUCUUUUCUGUGUGUUUUGGUUUCUGCAAAUUUGGGUGAGUUUCCUCACCUCUUCUUCUUUCUUUUCCUUUUUUGUUUCCUGCAUUUUUAUUGGGUACAAAAAGUUGGUUUUGCUGAGGUUGGGGUUUUUGAGGAUUCUGGAUUGGAGUUGUGGGUUUGGACUAUGGAGUAUGGAUCAUGUGUUGAAACGAGCUUUCCAAAGUAGAGUUUUCUGCAACUGUAGCCUUGUAUAGUUGUGUACUUGUGUUUAGAGAAAUGGGUAGGAAUAGAACAUUCACCAAGUGUUAUGAAUCCCAUUUGCUUAAUUGGGUUACAAGAUAGGGAUAGGUUUACUUACCCGUUACCCCUCAUGGGGUUCUUUUCAGUUUGGUUAUCUGUUGUGUUUUGGACUUUUAUGUUUAAUAGAUUAUUCAGGGUUUCUGCUUUUGGUUGUACUAUGGAACGUUUAUAUGUAUGUUCUGAGUGUUGUGUGAACUUUAAUUGGUGAUCCAAUCUUUCUAGCAAAGUGUCCCGCACAGUGCUCACUUUGAACACAAAAGGUUUCGACCUUAUCUUCACUUGUGGAAGUUGAGGAAAUCUGUCAAAUGGAGCCUAUUCUACAUAUUCGAUCUUUUGCUGCACUAUAUUCAUGAACACUUUCGUCACAGCUCUUGAUUUUUAACUAGUCCCCUGCUAGUGAAUUUUGUGCGACCAUUGGUACCCCAAUGUUGUUUUAGGUUGAACUUUUUCCUCAGCUUCUGUUUGUUUCUUCAGUUUUGAAAUUUUCCAGCUUGUCUUCAGGUUCCUAUAUAGUGUGUAGGAAAUCUGCUAUGCUUGUUGAGUUUCUGGUAACUAGAUUGUUUGUGGAUUUUGUUGCUUACUUGCUUUGGUUGCAUAUUAACUAUAUAAAAUCUGUAGAUGUGCUCAAGUAUUUAUGUGUACUUUCAAUUAGUAUUUCAGUUUCUUUUUACAUAAUCAUAUGUGGUUUAGCACAUUCAUUUUACUUUACAAAAUUUGGAGUAUGGUAAUUGUUGAAGCUAACAAUAGUCUCUUCGUGGAUCAGGUGUCAACAUCGCUUACCAUUUAUGACAAGCUUCCAUCAGGAAAAAUCAUUGCUUCUGUCAAACUCUGUGAUUACAAAUCUGGCAAGGUAUUCAACUUAUGUUAGCCUUUGAAGUAUACAUGAAUUUGCAGUUCAGCUGCAACUUAUAUCCACAUUUCUUUUAUCUAUUGCUGCAGUACCUUUAUGAACAAGUAAAAAGCAGUUGAUCUGAACUAAUCCUCUGCUAUUUGUUUUUGCAUAGUAAUUGGCGGUCCUAGCAUUAUUUCAGGAGGGGAAACUAGAUACUUGACAACUUCAGUUACAUUUGUAAACGAUAUUGCUGGUCUAAGCUUGACAGAGCCAAAUUCCUUUGAUUUAGUAGUUCUGUAAGUUGGCCACUAACAGAAAAGUACCUGUAGUUUUUGGAUGAUUAAACAGACAAACAUACUGUUGUUAUUUAGGUUUGUCGCAGUGUCUUUUGGUUGCUAGUCAAUAAGAAUACUUGUCUUUGAUGGUUAUUGUGAUUUUAGGUUCUUGAGCAUUACAUAGGGUUAUGUGUUAUCGUUGCAGGAUUUGGAAUCAUCAAUUGUAUCACUAAGUGGUAUCCAUUUUCAAGUAGGAUUUGGAACGUUGCCUAUGGAAAAUUCUGAGCUACCAGCGUAUAAGCGGUGUAGAGUCUCUGCUGUUCGUGACUUUCCUAUUGGGUGUGGACCAUUUGCUCACUUGAGUAAUUUGAAUGCCAAUGGUACAGAGAAGAUUUCAGAUAAAAAAUAUCCUCCUCGAUCAGUAGAAGCUGUUCGGGAUUUUCCACCUUUAUGUGGGAUCAAUGCUUCUCCGGAGGCCAGGAAAUUCAGCAAAGAGAAGUCAGUUAGGGGUUAUAAGCCCUUGUCAUCAAAGACAGCGAAGAAUAAUGAGAAACAAACAGGACUUGGGAACAAAGUUCAACCCAACAUUGAGAAGAAAAUUGGAGGACACUCUCUAAAGAAGAAUAAUCAUGUACCAGUAAAGGCUGCUUGUCAAGGUACAAGUCAGCCUGAUAUAAGGAAGAAGGAGUAUUCUCAGCAUGAUGAAAAAGAACAUAAUCUUGUGAUUCCAAAAUCACGGAGUACAGAUGGGUGCCCUCCUCCUUUUGGUUAUAGUAGUUUGAGCCGCAGAAGUCAUGAUAAUGACACGAGUGAAAGGAACAAGGUAAAGGAGAUAUUGCAUUUGUUCCGAGAUGAAUGUCAGAAGCUCUUGCUGGAGGAAGAAAAUAAAAGGUCAAGGGGUGUGGGAACUUCUCACCGAAGGGUUGAUUUGGAAGCCUUCAAGAUCCUCAAGGAUAGGGGAAUCUCUAUAAAAUCAGGCAAACAUGUCAUAGGAGAUAUUCCAGGAGUUGAAAUUGGUGAUAAGUUUCAUUACCGAGUGGAACUUAUCCUUAUUGGCCUCCAUCACCAGAUACAAAGUGGUAUAGCUUAUGGACAUUUCGGUGGAAAGGUCCUUGCAACCAGUAUCGUUGCAUCUGGUGGCUAUGCAGAUGAUUUGCAUAGUAAAGAUUCAUUGAUCUAUACUGGCCAUGGAGGAAAUGCAAAUCCAAAGGACCCUCAAGAUCAGAAGCUUGAACGGGGAAAUCUUGCUUUAAAGAAUAGUGUGCAAAAGAACCCUGUUAGAGUGAUCCGUGGCUCCGAACUAGUGGAUGGAAGCAGGACAUAUUUCUAUGAUGGAUUAUAUAUGGUAGAGAAAUGUUGGCAGGGUAGAGGUGCUCAUGGUAAGCUUGUUUUCAAGUUUCAGAUGAACAGAAUUGGAAGCAUUGGAAAUUGACGUGUGAGGUUAGUACUACUUAUUCAUCUAUAAGAUAUUUGGAUAUUAUAAGUUAGAACUCGGUUAGUUACAUAUAUCGUGCAUUGUACUGCAUUUGGUUGAGUGGAUGCAUGCAAAUAUGAAAUACUAUCAUAACUGAUGAACUGAAAAUGCAUUGAAUAUGAUUAGACCAUGAAUCCAUUCUUUAUCAUGGUUUCUGAUUUAUGUAGUGUUGAUUCCGUUGGAGUUAAUUUGGUUGUUUUUCGUCCCCACAGAUGCAUGCUUGAACUUGGGUAUACAAGGAAGAAUUGCCAGCCAGUAUUUGACCCAUCUAAAAGAGCUAAGCGGAUGUUUUGUAAAAAGGAUUUUCCAGCGGUUAGUAAGGUGUUUCUGUGACAGGUAGAGUAGAUAAACCGACUUUUGUGAAGAACUUUAGCAUUGAAAAAAAAAAAAAAACUUCUGUGAAGAACUUGACAGUGAGGCACAGAUCGAUGUACUGUCUAGAUAGUGUGAAGCUUGUUAUCGAUGUAAUUAGGUCUAAACUUAAUGUAGGCAGUAUUACGUGACAGUUAUGUGAAUGCUGUGUUGAGUUUGAUAUUGAUCAUGUUUUGCUUGCUAGUUGCAGGAGUUGGCAAUUGCUCUAGUGUGUAAAGUGCAGUUUCAAAUUUCUUGAACUGCGAUUUCCCGCCCAUUAUUAUUGUCACACCUAUAGUAUAAUACACCUUGUUCAUAACCCAAAAGCCCCUAUCAGUUUUAUGAAGAUGCAUAGCUCUGAAUAAAUCGCAAGAAAAGCAUCAAUAAUUUUUCAUAGAUGAACUUUCUCAGAUAAAUAUGUAAGAUCAAUACCUUGCCAGCAAAUAAUUUUCAGGUAGAAAGCAAGAAAUGGACUUAACAUAUAAAUCGUUGCGAAUUAAAAUGCGUGGCAUUCUAAUAUAAUCAUGUCCACUGCAAGGUGUUGGGUGUUGGGGUGGACUAGAGGCUAAACUCGAUCUGUACAAGGAAAAAUUCGAAGUGUCAUAUGUUCUCCCUGGACUUUUUGUUUAGCAAACUAGCACCAACAAAAAAAACUAUACAAUUGUCAUAAAAUAAAGAUGCUGUAAUUUAGAGUGGAAGAUAACUUUAUGUUAAGUCUUUAGUUUCAACAAUCAAAUUUUGCGAGUGAUCCCCAACUAAGUGUGAUAUCUCAUUGAAAUUUUACUGAUUUUGGUUAACGUGUUGAAUGCCAAGCCUACUUACUACAAACCUUCAUUUCAUCGUAAUAUUUACCAUGUAUAUAUCUUGUGUUUAUGUAGUACAAAUAAGAGCAAUAUUAUCAAUUCUAUAUUCGUGAAGUUUUUACACAAGUCCUAAAUAAGAUCAAUUCUUAUUUUAUGGUUAUCUAAGUGACAUCGCUCGUGUAAAGGGAGGUGAAUAUGUGGUUGUCACAGAGGUGCGUGGAGGAGAGAUUGGUUGUGAAAAUAUAGCCGCAAAUGGCAAAUUAUAAUUCUUACGAAUUCAUUCAAAGUAGAUAAAUUUAUGAAACAAUUAAAGAUGUGAAUUGUAGAUAAAAUUUUAAAGUCAAUAGCGUGAGGAAUAAAAUGAAGUUGUACAUAUGUGCUUACCACCACAUGUAUAAAGUUAGGCCUUUUUUUUCUUUUUUGGUUACAAGUUAGACCUUUUUUUUUAUGAUACAAAAUUCGAUGAGUUGUUGGUCGUAUUUAUGAAACAAUUAACGUGUGAAUCAUAGUAGAUAAAAUGUUUAAGAUAAAACAAAAAGAUAAAAGGAAGUUAUUUUUCAGUGCUUACGGCCACAUGUAUUAAGUUAGACCCGCAGUCCAUCACCGAAUGCAAAGCUGCCACAUCAAUCCAGUCAACUGUUUUUAAAUUCUAUGACCAAAACGACCUGGUGUAACCGUUCAGACAAUUCCUGUUUUAGAAACAAACUGACUCGUUGGCAGUCAAUGGACUCUAUACACGAAGUCACGAACUACAAUUAAUUAGCUCAUCAUAUGAAUCCGACUGCCACCACCCUCUUGGGAUUUCUGCGUUUCUUCUCUCAAGUUUGCGUGAGUUUCUCCCUUACCUCUUCGUCUCCCGUAUCAAUUCUUCUGCAUUUUCAACAUAUGGCUGGGAUUUUGGGUGAGAAUAGAUCAUUGUAACUAAUGAUAGUUUUAUUGAGGGCUUCUUGUUCGUUUUCAAUUUUCAUUCUCAAUCUUCUUGCAUGCUGCUUGAUCACACUUCAGUCACUGCAAAGGUUAGCUUGUAGCUGGUUUAGUAUAAUUCUGUUAGUUAGUGUAUAUCUAUGUAAAUUGAGAAAAUGAGUGACUUAGUUGGGUUUUCUGGGCUCAUGGGCAUGGAAGUAAACAGUAUUAGAUGAUAUGAAUGUCACCGGUCAAAAGCUUUCAGGUGAGAAUGGUUCUGUUUUUUUUUUUUUUAAAGGAGUGAGAAUGGUUCUGUUGAAACCAUAAGAACCAUAAGAACUCACCCAGAUAGAUGUACUGGUUCUUUUAGAUUACAGUUUCAAUUCGUAUUUCACAUUAAUAUUUCUAGCGCAAAUUCCCAGCAUGCUCAAUUUGAGAUCAAGAUGGGAAUAAAGUGUGACCAGCUGGCUGCCAUUUGCUCUUAUUUUUACCUAUGUGUGUAUUUCUUCACAGUAGUUAAAUAGUAAACUUACUUCUGUUGGGAUAUAGCUGCACAAGUGAGGGGUCGAGAGGGGGAGUAUCAGAUUGAGUUACUACCAUAACUUUUUGUGUCUGACAAUUGUUUGCUUUGUUGAAUAGGUAUCAGCAACCUUCACAAUUGAAGUCAUCGGCAACUUCCAGAUCACAAAGUAUAUCUCUGGUGUCAGUUACAAAGCCAGAUUCCUUUGCUUCAGUAGUAAUUCCGUAAGUUCCACAUUCAGAAAAAAAAUUAGCAUAAUUACUGCGUGAUAAACCGUACUAAAGUCCGAGGACAGUUAAGUUAGUUGCUAGUACUCGAUUGUAGCGCGUACAUAUCCGUGUCUAUAUAUAUAUAUANNNNNNNNNNNNNNNNNNNNNNNNNNNNNNNNNNNNNNNNNNNNNNNNNNNNNNNNNNNNNNNNNNNNNNNNNNNNNNNNNNNNNNNNNNNNNNNNNNNNNNNNNNNNNNNNNNNNNNNNNNNNNNNNNNNNNNNNNNNNNNNNNNNNNNNNNNNNNNNNNNNNNNNNNNNNNNNNNNNNNNNNNNNNNNNNNNNNNNNNNNNNNNNNNNNNNNNNNNNNNNNNNNNNNNNNNNNNNNNNNNNNNNNNNNNNNNNNNNNNNNNNNNNNNNNNNNNNNNNNNNNNNNNNNNNNNNNNNNNNNNNNNNNNNNNNNNNNNNNNNNNNNNNNNNNNNNNNNNNNNNNNNNNNNNNNNNNNNNNNNNNNNNNNNNNNNNNNNNNNNNNNNNNNNNNNNNNNNNNNNNNNNNNNNNNNNNNNNNNNNNNNNNNNNNNNNNNNNNNNNNNNNNNNNNNNNNNNNNNNNNNNNNNNNNNNNNNNNNNNNNNNNNNNNNNNNNNNNNNNNNNNNNNNNNNNNNNNNNNNNNNNNNNNNNNNNNNNNNNNNNNNNNNNNNNNNNNNNNNNNNNNNNNNUUUAAGAAUUUGAGGAUUUCUACUAUUUUACAUUAGUAGAUGACUUCUUUUAAUAAUCUCAACCGUUGAUCCUCUAGAUUCAUAUGCAAGAAAUAUGUCUACAAAAUUUCAACUUGACACGACCCGCCUCAAAUUUCACCCUGAAACCCGGAGUAAGUCGUGCGGGGACCACCUCCAAGGAAAAUUUUACCGAAAAGAUUGGUAAAACCUCCCUUGAAAAUGGACAACCCUAACUCGAAAAUUCAAAUUUACACUCUUACUACAACACGUCCAAACUUCACAUAAAUAUCCAGCUAAUAAAAGCAAACAUUAUCCUUCAGAGAUUCUAAACAUCAAAUCAACAGGCCGAGCACACCACCGAAAUAAUAUACAACAAUCCCAAAGUAUCCAGAGCUACUAGACUAUAGCGGAAGCAAGAAAACACGAGUAGGUUGAACAAGUAACCUACUGAUGAAAACUAGCAAAAAUGCGGGUGACUAUGCCUCGCCUCCUACUAGAUCCAACCCGAACUCUGCAAACUGGGCAUUUUUUUAAAACGAAGGGCCCAGGGGAAAACAUUUAAUAACGUCAGAGUGAGUGGACAAAAAUAAAUUAAAAAAAUAAAAUAUUUAUGUUUCCCCGACUCAAUUCCCAAGGAAAAAUCGAAUGCAUGCCGCAAGCGAUAAAACUUUAAUCUCAUAAAAUAUCGAGCCUCUCAGACUCUAUAAUAUAUGUAUGUAUUCACACACGUCUAUACUCCCUAUAUAAAUUCAUAGGUCUAUAUAGGGCUACUACGCUCGCGUCACGCCUUAAUGCGGUGCUACACUACGUCAUUAAGAUGGACAGACAGGUGUAUAAAUAUGUGUCCAUACCCCCUAUAUGAAUUAAACACUCAAAUAGGGCUACUACGCUCACGUCCAACGCUCACGUCACACCAUAAUGCGGCUAUAUGCUACGCCAUUAAGGUGGACAAACACAUAUGGCUAGCUAGCAUUUUAUAUACAUACUCUCUCAUAAAUACAUAUUUAUAUCCACCGAAAAUUCCAUUUUCGGUAACUCUCCAAGAGAAAUAAAAUUCGUCAAAUUAAAAUGACGUCAAAAUAUUCCGCAACAAUUAUUGUUCAACCAUGAACUCUAGCAUGCAUUUUAUUUAAAACAAAAAUCCACUCACAAAUUUGGCCUAAGCCUGAUGUUGAUCUGGGGCCUCGUCUGCUCGAGCCUCCUCACGUCCUGAUCCAAAAAUAAUAUUAAUUUCCCAACUAACAAUCCAAUGUUUAAUCAAAAUAGGCAAAAUUACCCGUGAGCCAUAAAUACGCUCAUCAUUGCCUAACUUCGAUAAUCUUAAAUCGAAACGAUCCGAACUUAAAUAUCAUACUCGGCAGCCGUAAAUACAACCUCCCCAAAAAAUACGACUUAAAUCCUACGGCCGGAUUCUACAUUAAUUAACCGCCAAAAAUACCACACUUCGGAAAUUCAUAAACAUAUCCAAAACUCAUCCAAAAAUUCCAUAACUCACUUCAAUAAACUCCCCCUAAUAUUCCAAAUUUAACAACAUUAAAAAUCUCCCAACCGGCGGUGGCCGGAGGCCAAUUCCGGCAACCUCCAAAACCUAUGAAAUUUUGACAGCAUCUUCCUCUCAUCAUGCUCUACAACUUUCCUAACUAGCACAAACCCAAAAUCCAAGCCUAGCUAUGCCAAUCGAACAGAAACAUCAAAAACGCUCUAGAAUUUCAACUUCACAUUUCUCCUUACCUAGCUUAAGAGAGGGUGAGCUGUUUGGAGGGGUUGCUACACGGGAGGAGGGCUACAAAACGAGCCAAGGAUCGCCAGUUUUGGUGGCCGGAGGAGGGAGCUCCGGCGAGAGAACCACCACGGCAGUUAGCGGCUCCGGGUGUCGUUGCUCUCUCACGACGGCGCUAGGGGAACUGCUACCAGCCUAGAAUGAAAGCUGGGUUGGAGGCUGACCGAACGGGACUGGUGCGGUAGUCUCAGGCGGCCGGACGGCGGCGGAUGAGCGGCCGGAAGGUUUGGCUGCGGGAGGGACUCGAGGAGAGAGAGAACCGGGAAGAAAAGAGAGAAGAGAGAAAAUGGGUUUGGGCCUCACACCCCAAACUGGUCCAACCCAAUUCCAAAAAUAAAACACCCCGAAAAAAUAAUACCCGAAUAAAAAUUACAUUUUACUAUCUAAAAUUUACCAUUUUUACCGUCGUCAUAACUUUCUCCUACGAAUAACUCUCCGAAAUAAUCGUCCCCCGAAACCCCUCUAGGGACCAAUUAAACUAUUAUCUCAAUGACGGAGAUGGGAAAAUUCUUAUUAUAAACAAGCUAGUAAAUAAGGUAAAAAUAUAAGAGUCGGGAUGUGACACAACUAAUUCCAUAAUCAUUUGGUCAUUCAAAAUGAUGUAAACAAUUGUAGGCCGUUAAAUAAAAUUAAAAUGAACAUUGUGUUAAUCAAAUGGUUAAACGUUUUUCAUUUUGGCUAAUUUUUUGUAUGAUUCAUAUGUGGGUAAGUAACUAGGGAAUGGGUGGCUUUGAUUGUCAAAAUAUAUGCUAGAACUAAAAACAUCCUUACUUUAAGAGUUUAAUAAGGUCCUUUGUAGAUCUGGACUAUAUAUAUAUAUAUAUAUAUAUAUAUAUAUUAUAUAUANNNNNNNNNNNNNNNNNNNNNNNNNNNNNNNNNNNNNNNNNNNNNNNNNNNNNNNNNNNNNNNNNNNNNNNNNNNNNNNNNNNNNNNNNNNNNNNNNNNNNNNNNNNNNNNNNNNNNNNNNNNNNNNNNNNNNNNNNNNNNNNNNNNNNNNNNNNNNNNNNNNNNNNNNNNNNNNNNNNNNNNNNNNNNNNNNNNNNNNNNNNNNNNNNNNNNNNNNNNNNNNNNNNNNNNNNNNNNNNNNNNNNNNNNNNNNNNNNNNNNNNNNNNNNNNNNNNNNNNNNNNNNNNNNNNNNNNNNNNNNNNNNNNNNNNNNNNNNNNNNNNNNNNNNNNNNNNNNNNNNNNNNNACUAUAUAUAUAUAUAUAGUCUGUUUCUGGUGCGGACGUCCGUACAGGUUUUUCGUACGGAUUUCCAUCGUUUCUCCACCUUUCCAGCGCCGGCGACGCCGUUUCUUCUCCCCGGUGUGAUCUCAGACCUCCUCCGACGUUGUUGGAAUGAAGAAGAAGGCCGGAGAGAUCGCGAUCGGAGGUCUACCAUGAUCGGUUGUGAAGUUCUGAGUGAGAUUGCUGCACAGACCUCCGAUCGCGAUCUCUCCGGCCUUCUUCUUCAUUCCAACACCGUCGGGGGAGGUCUGGGAUCACGCCGGGGAGAAGAAACGGUGUCGCCGGCGCUAGAAUGGUGGAGAAAUGGCAGAAAACCCGUACGGAUGUCGGCACCAGAAACAGACUGUAUAUAUAUAUAUAUAUAUCUAUAUAUGUAUAUAUAUAUCGUUUUUAUUCGAAAUUCGGCGAAAGGUUUGUUAGGACUAUGUGUUCGAAUUAGCGUUACAUUUGUGAAUUGUCAUUUUCUUGACCUUUCCGAUCGAAAUUUAAAGUUGUUUAGAAAACUUUGUAUCAUUAUGGAUUUUGUUCUCUUUCUCUAUCGAUCUUUUUUUCUUUUCCCAUUAUGAUGAGUUUCUCACUUCGUCAAAUUGUCGCGGCUGCUUAUUGAUAGGGUGAAGCUAACUGUCCUCGCAUCUAUCUUCUGGCAACAAUAUAAUUUAAAGUUUAUGAAAUACUAAUUAGGUUGUGUAAUUGUGUUACAUAUCUAGUGAUUUUUUUACCGUUGUGUCAAAGCAAAUGGAGUUGCCAGUAAAACAAUAUAUUUUUUCGCUAAUUGAUGCUUAUAGAAUAUAUACUUGUCCGAUGUGAGUAGUCUUAUUAUUAUCUCGGGACAUACUCCAAAUGCUUCUUAUAAUCACGGGUUUAGACUCAUGUCACCCUUAUAUUCAAUAGUAUCAUUAAUCAAGGCUCGAGAGAAUCCGUACUAGCCCUUCAUUCAAAAAAUAAUAAUUCUAUACUUUUUAUUUUUUGCUUUAUGAAGAUAGAUUCAUGUAUAGUGAAAGAGAGAAUUAUACACAUUUAUGAAGAGAAAUAUUUUUAUUUACUUUCCAAAUUUGUGAUUUUGAGUUAGUUGCUAGUUUGAUGAAACAUAUUCAUAUAUGUUUUUAAUUAUUUGGUGAAAAGUUUGUUUGGACUAUGUUUCUAUAUUAACGUUACUUUUUUUUAUUGUUCGUUUUGACCUACAAUGUAAUUUUCACCAAAUAUGAAUUAGAAAAACCCGAAAAUGGUAUCUAAAGAGAGAAUUUAAUAUUCUUAACGUUGUGUUUGGAUGAAGUAGUUUCAAUUUCCAUAGAAAUUGGAAAAUCAUGGAAAUUACAAUUUCAUGAAUUUAAAUUCCAUUAAUCGGGAAUUUCAUUGUUUGGAUUUCAUGAUAUAGAAUUUUAAAUGAUAAGAAUUUGUAUUUAGACUAACCUCAAUCGAGAGAAUUGACAAAUGACACCUAUUUUGUAAGGAAUUCAAGUUGGGAAUUUAAGUUUUCAAAUUCCACAAUUAUUUUCCUGUGGAAAUUGCUAAUUCCAUUGGAUAAGAAUCUAAACGGGGGAAAUAAUUCUAAGAAAUUAGGAAUUCUUAAUUAUGGAUUAAAUUCCCGAGAAUUCACCCACAUCCAAACACAACAUAAAGAUUUUGUGUUCCCUUUCUUGUUUUUCUUUUCAUAUUAUGUUACAAUUUUUUGAUUUUCGAUUUUCAUUAGGAUUAAGAUUUCCUACAUGUAUCAUGAUGAAAUCGACAAGGAAUAGUUUCUUUUCUUUCCUAAUUUAAAUUUUUUGUGAUCUAUAUAUAUACAAGUCGUUAAAUAUUUGAAGCUCAACAAGAAGGUCAGGAAGAGACUUGUUUUGUUUUUUAGACGUGCCCGUGAUUUGUUAGUUGUUUUUCCGCAGGCAUUGACAACUUCAUAGAUUGCAAAGUGUUAGUCAUAUCAACAAGCUAAACUUCUCCGCUUCGGCAUUCUGUAAGUUCCAUAUUUACUAUUGCUCUCUCUUUAGGCUUUACUUUAAUUUGUUUUGUUAAACCAUUGUGAAUACAUAUAGCUUAUAACUUAGUGAUUACCUAUUCUGUCUUCACAGGUUCUUGAGCAAUAAUUCAUUACCUAAUUGGGUUGUGAGUUGGAAUGGGGUCAGAGGGAUCAUUGCAGCGUACAGGGUCCUCGAGGAAACAUGAUGAGGAAACAUUGGGCUCUUCCCAUUCCAAGUUACUUGACCAUAAAAGGCCAAGAGUCUCUGCCAUUCGUGAUUUUGCGCCAGGGUGUGGACGAUCUACUCACUUCACAACUUCAGUUGGUAGUUCUGAUGAUAUGGCUAGGGAACAUCAUGUCCCUGCCGUUCGUGAUUUUCCCCAAGGAUGCGGACCAUCUGCUCGCUUGACAACUUCAGUUGGUACUUCUGAUGUGGCUAGGAAACAUCAUGUAGGAGCCGUUCGAGAUUUCCCUCCUCAAUGUGGAACAAGUGCGUCUCAGGAGGCCAGAAACUUUGAUCGAGAGGCGCAGUCAGUUAAGGGUGACAAACCAUCAACAUCAUCAAACACUGACAAGACUAAUGUGUAUCGUUCAUGGUGGACAGGAAAAGUUGCCCACAGAUCUAAACCAAAUGGAGAUAUUGGCCCAAUAAAAAAGCAACCUGAAGCAAAUCGUCAGCCAGAAAGAUCUCGGAAUGACUCGGACAAUACUAGAGGAAAGACUACUCAAUUUAGUGCUGCUAGCCUUCGUAACAACAACACAUCUCUCAUCCGAACGAAAGUGACAGAGACACUGAGUCGGUUCAGAGAUCUUUGUAUCGAGAUUGAGCGUAAGAAGUUGAGGGAAGGAGCAGCAAAUCCGAGAAGGAUAGAUUUUGAAGCUGCAAAGAUCCUCAAGAAAGAAAGAGGAUACGUUAAUACAGGCUCACAAAUAAUGGGAGAUGUACCAGGUGUGGAAGUUGGUGACAUUUUUCGUUACAGAAUUGAGCUCACCAUUGUUGGGUUACAUCGCCAGAUUGAAGGUGGGAUCGACUAUACACAUUUUGGUAACGAGUCGCUUGCAACUAGCAUUGUGGCGUCUGGGGGGUAUGCAGAUGAUACGCAUGACUUGAACUCCCUAACUUACACCGGCCAUGGAGGAAGCGUGAUGCACCAUAACCUCCCAGAGCAUCAAGAGCUUAAACGCGGGAACCUGGCUUUGAAGAAUAGUAUCGACGCGGAGAAUCCUGUUAGAGUGAUACACGGGUCUGAGACUUCCGGUGGAAGAAAGCAGUAUGUUUAUGUUGGACUAUAUUUGGUGGAGAGGUGGUGGAAGGAAACGGGGGAUCAUGGAAAGAUUGUUUACAAGUUUCAACUGAACAGAAUUCAGGGCCAGAGAUCGAUCCCUUGGUUGAUAUAACAUAUGAAUUAUUGGUGGUGCAACAACAUCUAGCUAGCUGACAGUUGAAUAAUUUUUGCUGUUCAUCGACACAAUUUGUCAUCUCUUCAUUACUCGUUGAUGGUUGUUGUACCAGUACUGUUCUUUCUUAGUUUGAUUCUGCAGCUGAUUUGCAGCCUUUGUUUCUCACAGAAAUUUUCUAAUUUCUGUGAUGCUAUUGUUUCAAUCAAGACUUCAAGGCCUCGUUUGGUUCAUGAAAAAGAAAGUAGUUGCUACAUUUUUCCUAUGAGAAGGGAAAGAGAAUGGGACUGAAGUUUUCGAAUAACUUUCUAUGUCAUUGGGAAAGCUGAUAACUAAUAUAAUAAAUAUUCUGCUGUGAGUAAUAAAUAUUAAGAAAGAAGAAAGGAAAGUGGUUUAUUUAGAUUUUAGAAUAGUAAACUACAUAUUAGUUACUAACCAAAUAUCAAUUAACAAAAAGGUACAUUAAGCAUAUUAGUAAACAAACAAGGACAAACUUUUACAAAUAAGGACAAAUUGUAAAUGCAUUGCCGUUAUGCAACACGUUAUGCUGUUGCCAUGUGGCAAUGCGCAUUUACAAUUGUGCCCUUCAAACUAAAUGUGCUGCUACUGUCGGCAGUUUACAAACUUCUGCUACUGCGAACUAAAGAAGUUGCUACUGUCGACUGUUUACAACGUUAUGCUACUGCCCCCUGUUUUUACUUUUCUGCUACUGCCCCCUGUACUGUCGGCAGUUUACAAACGUUCUGCUACUGCCUACCGAAUAAGCUGCUACUAUCGACUGUUUACAUACAUUAUGCUACUGCCUUUUGUUUUUACUUUCUGCUAUUGCCAACUAUUUUCAUUUUUCUCUGCUACUACUAUAUUGCCUAUACAUAUAUCAACCAUGGAAUUACUAUAUAUAUAUAUAUUCACUAUUACUGCUGCUAGCCUGCUACUGUAUAUGUCAAUCAUGGAAUCACCUAUAGAGUUGUUGCUACUGCUUUAUAUAUCCACCAUUAAAUCAUUUAUGGAAUAACUGUUACUAGCCUACUACUGCAUAUAUUAACCAUAAACCUCAUUCUUGUUCUAUUCACUCAUGGAAUCUCCUGCCAAUCAACCAAAACCCCCAAAAUUGAAAAUUUUCACGAGCAUUAACAUGCCCAGUCGCAUUCUAAAUCCUUCAAGGUCGCAGGUGACGACAGCGAAGAUCUCGACGUCUCCUGAUCUCUAACCCAAACAAAGAUGAAGCUGACCAUCAUCAAUUCCCACCAAACAUGAACAAAAUGAAAUUGAAUCAGAUAAAAAAAAAAAACAAAGUAAUUGAAGAAGACCCCCAACCAUGUCUCGUCGUUGGUGAGGCAUUAGUGUUGGAAUCAGAUCUGAUGCACAGAAAAAGUAGUUGAAGAAGAUGCCAAACUUGUUUCGUGGAGGCGUUGCCGUCCUCGUCGCGUCAGCAGCUUCGUUGUCUAGGAGGCAACGCUUCUUGAGAGAGAGAGAGAGAGAGAGAGAGAGAGAGAGAGAGAGAGAGAGAGAGAGAGAGAUAAGAAAAGAAGUAGGAGGAAGGGAAGGAAGAAGAGAGAGAGAGAGACGANAGAUAGAAAAGUAAGAGAGAGAGAGAGAGGAAAAUUAAAGAUGAGAGGGUAUUAUGAUCAUUUGAUAGGUAAAAUUCGGAUAAGGGCUAAUGCCAUUAGUUUUGGGCUUGGGUUGAUGUCUUAAAUUGUAUAAAAAUUACUAGAAGUGGGUUUUUGUGUUUUAAAUUUGGUCAUAUGCUACUAUGUAAUUUACUCAUUUUAGAAUGAACUAUUUUUCCCCAUAAUUUCCCUUCAGCUAGGAAAGUGGUUCCUUUUCUUUUGUUUGCCCAAACACAGAAAAUGAACAACUUUUAUUUCCUGAUGCCUACUUUCCUUUCCAGAUUUGAUGUUAGACUAUGUGAGUAUGUGUAUUGGUUUUUUUUGUUUUUUUUUUUUUUCACUCACAUACCCUUACAUAUGUCAGUGAGAUUUGAAUCUAUAAUUUUAACGUUGUUGGUUAAACUACCUAACCAACCAGACCAUGGCUCACAGACAACUAUGCAUAUUGGUAGGGCUGGGCACGGGCCGAGACCGUCCUACUUUUCAUAGGGACCGGGCUCAAACCGGUAACAGUACAACCAAGCCGGUCUUUACAUCAAAAAAUUUGGGGCCCGGGGAAAGCCCGGCCCGGUAAAAGCCCGAACCGGUUUGGUCGGGUUUCAGGCCUGUUUUGCUUUCAUCGAGAGGAAGAGAAGAGAGGUACCUGAGCGUGAGAGCGUCUAAUUCUCAAGAGGUAAACCCACAAUCAAAAUGAAUCGAUUGGAAUUUGAAAACCACAAUCACAAAAUCAACAAAGUUCAUCAAAGCACCAAUCUUUCAAAUCCAAUUAAAAAGCCAAUUUACCAUAAUCACAAAGCAAGCAAAUUUCAGGGCUUAGUUUGAAGGUACCUAAGACUUUUGUCGUUGAAGGUGACGGCGACAAAGCCCUCUUCUGCCACGCGGAGCUGCCACCGGAAUCGUCGCGUCUUCCGCCUUUUCUGCUGCCACGGCGACUUCCGUAAUUUGUGAGCGAACUCAGAACUCGGCUCGUUGCACGGGAGAUGUGCGCUGGCGUCGCCGAGACUCACGAGGCCCGCAGGCGGCAGGCGUCGUCGAGAGGCACGGAGGCGCGGAGGGCGAAGGGUGAAGGGCGGAGGCAUCUAGAAGAGCAGCGUCUCUGUUUCGUCUCUCAGGUCUCAGCGUCUCUGUUUGGUUUAAACUAUGAAGUUUAGGACUUUUAGGUUUGACUUUACACUAAAUGGACUAAUCAUGUGUGGUUGAGCCUAUCUUACUAGUAUAAGAUUGCUAAAAUUAUCUAAUUGUUGAGUAACACAUACGUAGGUCGGGCUUUCGGGCUUAAAAACUUUUGUAAAAUUAGGGCCGGGACCGGCCCGAGUAUAGUUGGGCCCAGCCCGAAAUGACAGAAAAUAAAUGAGGGCCCGUAAAAAAGCCCGGUCCGGUCCGGUCUUUUUUUUCAUUUCGGGUUUUAUGCCCACCCCUACAUAUUGGUAAAAUAGUUUGUUGCAAUUUGAACAUUUUGCAAGAGAAAUUAUUCUCUGUACCCGGAACACCAUGUGGCACUGCCAUGUGGAGUUUCUAGUCAAUCAUAUAACUCAAUUUCUUGUGGGGACCAAUAGGAGGGUGAAAAAUAAAAGAGGUAAAUAAAUAGACCAAUCAGAAAUAAAAUAAAAACACUUGGAGCAAUAGUAUUAGAGGAGACCAAAUGUCACAUGGUAUUUCGGGUACAGUUUAUAAUUUCUCCAUUUUGCAAUACUCUGUAAUCUAAUUAACGAACUUCGGGUUUGUCAUGCAACUUAACAGAGUAAAUAAAGUGGGGUUUGUCUAUAGAACACUAGUAUGUCACUAUUGCAUACGGCAAAAUAGGGAAGGAUAUCUCCACGGUUCUCACUUCUCACCACACCAAGUUUCCAUUGUGUGAGGUAACAACCUUUUGAAUCAAGAACUAAGCUAAAUAUCGUUUCAAGAAACAAACAAACAAAAAAAAAAAAAAAAACUAGAUACUGUAUGUUAACGAAACCUUAAUUAUUAACACCCAAAAAGGGUCACUAUCUCAAUGGUACAGUAGUACAAUUGGGUGUGAUUGGUGUCAAAUUUCUUGAAUCAGGAAUCAUACAAAAUAAGUUUACUUGACCUACAUUUAUGAACAAAAAGAAGAAAAAUUCAAUGUGAUAUGUCAUCACGGUACCGAGUUUGAAUGUUUGAUAUCCACUAAAAGAAUAUUUUCGUUUUAUAGGCUUUCUUCGAGUACUUGUCUUGCUAAAAUUAGGUAACAUCAAAAACCGAAAGUGAUGGUAAUUUAUGAUCAUAGAAAGCGCAAGCGAUAGCGAAUAGAUGGUAAUAGUUGGCAAUAGAUAUGCAGCUCCAUUCAGUGGUGGUUGAAAGUGAUUGCUUACAAGCUGUACAAGUAAUUAACUCCCCUAAUCAAGACUUGUCU